GCUAAACGCGAAGAACCUUACCUGGUCUUGACAUAGUAAGAACUUUCCAGAGAUGGAUUGGUGCCUUCGGGAACUUACAUACAGGUGCUGCAUGGCUGUCGUCAGCUCGUGUCGUGGGAUGCUGGGUUAAGUCCCGCAACGAGCGCAACCCUUUUCCUUAUUUGCCAGCGGGUUAAGCCGGGAACUUUAAGGAUACUGCCAGUGACAAACUGGAGGAAGGCGGGGACGACGUCAAGUCAUCAUGGCCCUUACGACCAGGGCUACACACGUGCUACAAUGGUCGGUACAAAGGGUUGCUACCUAGCGAUAGGAUGCUAAUCUCAAAAAGCCGAUCGUAGUCCGGAUUGGAGUCUGCAACUCGACUCCAUGAAGUCGGAAUCGCUAGUAAUCGCGGAUCAGAAUGCCGCGGUGAAUACGUUCCCGGGUCUUGUACACACCG
rnacentral:rRNA from 1 species